ACGAACGCUGGCGGCGUGCCUAAUACAUGCAAGUCGAACGAACUCUGGUAUUGAUUGGUGCUUGCAUCAUGAUUUACAUUUGAGUGAGUGGCGAACUGGUGAGUAACACGUGGGAAACCUGCCCAGAAGCGGGGGAUAACACCUGGAAACAGAUGCUAAUACCGCAUAACAACUUGGACCGCAUGGUCCGAGUUUGAAAGAUGGCUUCGGCUAUCACUUUUGGAUGGUCCCGCGGCGUAUUAGCUAGAUGGUGGGGUAACGGCUCACCAUGGCAAUGAUACGUAGCCGACCUGAGAGGGUAAUCGGCCACAUUGGGACUGAGACACGGCCCAAACUCCUACGGGAGGCAGCAGUAGGGAAUCUUCCACAAUGGACGAAAGUCUGAUGGAGCAACGCCGCGUGAGUGAAGAAGGGUUUCGGCUCGUAAAACUCUGUUGUUAAAGAAGAACAUAUCUGAGAGUAACUGUUCAGGUAUUGACGGUAUUUAACCAGAAAGCCACGGCUAACUACGUGCCAGCAGCCGCGGUAAUACGUAGGUGGCAAGCGUUGUCCGGAUUUAUUGGGCGUAAAGCGAGCGCAGGCGGUUUUUUAAGUCUGAUGUGAAAGCCUUCGGCUCAACCGAAGAAGUGCAUCGGAAACUGGGAAACUUGAGUGCAGAAGAGGACAGUGGAACUCCAUGUGUAGCGGUGAAAUGCGUAGAUAUAUGGAAGAACACCAGUGGCGAAGGCGGCUGUCUGGUCUGUAACUGACGCUGAGGCUCGAAAGUAUGGGUAGCAAACAGGAUUAGAUACCCUGGUAGUCCAUACCGUAAACGAUGAAUGCUAAGUGUUGGAGGGUUUCCGCCCUUCAGUGCUGCAGCUAACGCAUUAAGCAUUCCGCCUGGGGAGUACGGCCGCAAGGCUGAAACUCAAAGGAAUUGACGGGGGCCCGCACAAGCGGUGGAGCAUGUGGUUUAAUUCGAAGCUACGCGAAGAACCUUACCAGGUCUUGACAUACUAUGCAAAUCUAAGAGAUUAGACGUUCCCUUCGGGGACAUGGAUACAGGUGGUGCAUGGUUGUCGUCAGCUCGUGUCGUGAGAUGUUGGGUUAAGUCCCGCAACGAGCGCAACCCUUAUUAUCAGUUGCCAGCAUUAAGUUGGGCACUCUGGUGAGACUGCCGGUGACAAACCGGAGGAAGGUGGGGAUGACGUCAAAUCAUCAUGCCCCUUAUGACCUGGGCUACACACGUGCUACAAUGGAUGGUACAACGAGUUGCGAACUCGCGAGAGUAAGCUAAUCUCUUAAAGCCAUUCUCAGUUCGGAUUGUAGGCUGCAACUCGCCUACAUGAAGUCGGAAUCGCUAGUAAUCGCGGAUCAGCAUGCCGCGGUGAAUACGUUCCCGGGCCUUGUACACACCGCCCGUCACACCAUGAGAGUUUGUAACACCCAAAGUCGGUGGGGUAACCUUUUAGGAACCAGCCGCCUAAGGUGGGACAGAUGAUUAGGGUG
rnacentral:rRNA from 1 species